GAAGUGACUUAACGUGAACUUUGAUUUGGAUUUUUAUCAGCAAACUGGAUAACUCUAUUGAUUGGGCUUAUUUGAGACUGUCCAAUAUUGAAAUCUCAGAAAAGUUCAAAUAAAAACAAAAGUUAAAUGCUUUAAAUGUAAAAGAUUCGGUCACUUUACUCAUGAGUGCAGAGUGAAAGAUAUAAUUAAAGAGUUAAAGUUAAAAUCCGAAGAUGAAGCUAAUUUAAUUAACGUCCUUGAGUUAGCCGAUACUGAGUCAGAUCCUAU
rnacentral:lncRNA from 1 species